GCUUGUUGUAGUUCACGCUGGCGAACCGGUUCCGCAUUCCGUUGCCGUUCCGCUACCAUUGCGUUUGGGCCUUUACGUCCAUCGGAUGGAAGAACAAUUGAGAGAAGGAGGAUUUCGUGCGAAUCUUAUCAGCUGGGGAAUGAAACCUGAUACGGUGACCCACCAGCUGGGGACCCGACAGCUAUAUAGAUCAACCACCCGAUCGAACGACCAGAUCGUUUCAACGGCUUCCUAAGGAGUAAGAACGCUAUGUCUACCUCAAUACUUUCAGUGUUUUCAAGCCAAUAUUCCUUCUGGAAGCACUGUCAGAUGGUCUUUUUGAUGUACCUUACCAUGUAGAAAAAUAACGAAUAAUACCAAAAAUAAUAAAAUGUGAUGAAUACAUUAUAAAA